rnacentral:rRNA from 1 species
UACGUAGGGGGCUAGCGUUGUCCGGAUUUAUUGGGCGUAAAGAGCGUGUAGGCGGCCAGGUAGGUCUGCUGUGAAAACUCGAGGCUUAACCUCGAGAUGUCGGCGGAAACCAUCUGGCUAGAGUCCGGAAGAGGAGAGUGGAAUUCCUGGUGUAGCGGUGAAAUGCGCAGAUAUCGUUUGGAACGCCAACGGAGAAAUCAGCUCGCUGGGGAUGUCCUGACGCUGAGACGCGAAAGCCAGGGGAGCAAACGGG